GAGGGGCCCGGCGGCGGCAUGGUUCGCUUCAAGAACAGGUACGUGCUGUGCGAGGUGCUCUCGGAGGACCCGCGGUGCCGGCAGUGCAUCGAGGACCGCGCGGUGGGCCUCGCCGUCAGGGACGCCGUCGCGCGGGCGCACGGGGACUACGGGCUGGGCUGCUGCUGCGUGUCCUUCACAGUGAAGUACCUGAACGCGUACACCGGCACCGUGCUGCUGCGCUGCCGCAAGGACUUCCAGCGCCUGCUGAGCUCGGCGCUGCCGCUCGUCCGGCACCUGGAGGGCCGCGGGCAGCGCUUCCCCUGCGCGCUGCGCACGCUGCACGUGGGCGGUACCAUCAGAACCUGUCAGAAGUUUCUCAUCCAGUAUAACAGAAGGCAGCUGCUGCUGCUGCUGCAGAAGUGUACGAGUGAAGAGGAGAGGCGCAGCGUGCGGCAGGCGGUGCUGAGCUGCUCCCUCACAGAAGAGCAGGCGCAGAGCGGGGAGGAGGAGGAGGAUGGCACAGAGACAGACUGAGCAGCACUUGUUCGCCUUUGUUCUGGACCUGGCUAUCAUCAAAGCGAUACCAAGUAUCCUCCUGUGUUAAGUAAAGCAAGUAAAGGAUUCAAACCUUUGACUGCUCCAAAGGAGCGAAGCUCAACGUGAUCUUUGUGCUGAGGUAGAAGUGAACUUCAGGCAGUUGGUAUGGGAAAGAAAUGUAGUUAUGCUCCCUCGGUACAGAGAGCAAUAACUUUAGUUUUUGCCCUUAUCUUCCAGUGCAGCUGUUCUUGAAAGGGUUGUCUGGUGUUUCAAGUCACAAAAGCACUGAUUGUCUACAGGAGCAUAGACUACAGGGAACACAAGGUGGAACUACGUGGCUCAGCUCCACCCAACCCCUUUUAAAACUCAUAGGUACAAUUACUGCUUAGAUAUUUAUUGAGGUUACACCAGUCAGUUACAGGAAAGUAGCACUGCUGCUCACAUCUCUUGAAUCCAUUGGAAAACAAAACACAACUUGAAGAUCUGCCCAAUAGAGGCUGCCCCUGCACACAGGAGAGCCUUCUUUGCCUGCGUUCUUCCCUUGUGACAGUGCCUGUGAGACAGGGAGGUGAGUUGUACCAGCUCCAACUCCUCCUUCUUGUCAACUCAAAGAAAACUCAACUGUAACAGUGUAGGAGAUAAUAAACAAUAUAAUGGUUAGACACUCAAGUAGUUACUCCUGUUCCAUGGCUUAAAAUAACUGUUACAAGUAAGAAACAAUACCAUUGUGAAAACA